AGCUACCCACCUCUUGCUUGCGGAUUGGAAUGUGCACCACAGGAAUGGACAAGCGGCGCAGACGUACGCUGGGACAAAUGUCAAAGCGUUGCUUGGUCCCGGUCUCGCUGUCCAGAGGAGCACACCAGUCAUCAGGGUGCUGGUGUUGUGUGUGCUGCCUCACUCAUCCACUUACUGAACUGCACAGAGGCACAGCCGGAUGUCAUGAAUACAACCUGUGCUUUUUCUGCUGCAACAGAUCUGGGAUCAUGUGACCAACUCACCACAGCGUCUCCACCCACCUUGGAUGACAGGCACAAACACAGCUAACAGCAACCUUAGUUUCUGGUUUUAUUAUUUCCUUAUUCUUUCUUUUCUCCUCUUCUUAUGGGGCGACGUACUCAAUGAAGCAAUUUGCUUCUUUUCCAUAGAGUCAAAAGAAGAAUCCCUCGUCUCUUCUGCUUAAGUUGGCUGAUAAUCACAAUCCUCUAUACAGUCAUCAUCAUCACUUAGAUCAACAUCAGAGGCUUGAUGAUUUUCUGGUAUAACGGCCAGAAAGGCGCAUGACCUCGCACAAUAAAUUGUUGUCAUCCC